GCUGGGUGUGGUGGCUCACACCUGUAAUCCCAGCACUUUGGGAGGCUGAGAUGGGUGGAUCACCUGAGGUCAGGAGUUCGAGGCCAGCCUGGCCAAAAUGGUGAAACCCCGUCUCUA
rnacentral:SRP_RNA from 1 species